AUGGCAAUGGUUGCACAGAACCUCAUAAUGCAGGACAAGUGGUGCAUCGUGGACCAGAAAACGUACAUCAUCACCAACCAACUAGUCAGUAAUGGAAAUCAAGGCUUCAAGAUGAACCCAGCAUCAAUGGUCAGCGGCAUUCAGAGGCAAAACACAGCACAGAAUGCAACAUGUCCCUGUCCCCUUGGAAGUGGAGACAACAGACAAUACUUGGAGCAGCAAACCUCCACACAGGUUUACCAUAAAUUCCCCGGUACACCCAGUCAGGUGUUUACGCAGACACAAUAUGGUGAACAGAAUUUACAGAGAACACAUCCAAAUACCUGUUCGGGCCAGACAUGGGUGCCAGCCUCGACAAAUGUAGGAUUUCCAAUGUCAAGCACUCAGUUUUAUACUACUGGUGAUAAUACGGGUGUUUGUAGUAGACACGACAUGACCAAUACAGCACAAGCUCCAUCAUCACCCUUCAAUAAGCAAAUCAAGCAAUCAAGACCGAGUGGUGUCCAGCCAGCUCCUGUCCAUGUCGGAUGGAAUAAUUCUUCUACCCCAAAACAUGUGACAGGCCUGAACUGUAGCAGAACCAUGACUGAAUAUGUACCCGAUUCUACUGGAUUCUGUGGGAUAUAUGCAAAUCAAAGACCUCUCCAGUCAUCCCAGACUUUACAAAACAUUCAGAGCCUUCAAUCAUUGCAGGCACAGCAACUCAGAACUCAGUCACUCUAUGGCAGCAAUCCCACUUCACUAAACAACGUUGCCUCCAGAAGUUCCAUCACAUACUCUGGAUUACAGACAACACUGGACAACAUUACUACUACCACCAGGUUCAGUAAUUCUACCACAGCUCACAAUAAUUGCAAUCAACACUACUUGUUAAAACCACCCCCCCCUUAUCCCGUCACACACACUCAAAAGAGGGUCCCUGACCAUCCGUCACUACCGAUGUCCAACAUCAAUAAUCCAAACUACAGUACCUCCAACCUUGCCAAUCGGGUCAUGCAGUCCCAGCAGGGAUCACUAAGCCAGGCUUUACAGCAGGCCGGCAAUAGACCAGCACCCUCAAGACAUCAGACUCUUCCUCAGCAAGUAAGGAAAUUAAAUAAGAGUAACAAUGCACCAUUCAGACCAAGCCCUGGUCUUUCCUCAGUGCAAAAAAGCAGCGCCCACCAACCAUCUGCUCAGGAUGACAGACAUCCUGUCCGACACAGAAAGAGGGGAAAUUCAUUAAUCAGGGAAAUGCUGCUCGACUCUAAAAAGGCACUAGAUCAUUUUUUUGAGACCAGCACAAAGAGAGCAAAAAGCACCCAUGACAAAGAGUCCAGUGAGUCAUGCACAAGUGAGUAUGACAAGGAGGUCAGGGACGUUGUGUUGGCUCUGGAAAAAGCUUGCGGGGAGAACUCGAGCCCGGCCGAUUCUGCCCGACAUGCAAGCACUGAGGACGAGAACAGUAAACUAAAGGAACCAGAGGAACCUAUAAAGGAGUACACGCUGUCAGAUUUGAAGGACAUGGUGAACAAGCUUGAACAAGAAUCACAAAAAGAGCCUCUGGAGAAGAACUGUGAUUUCCUGGCUACUUUACUUGAGCUGUUCUGGGGCGGCAAUAGGAGGAACUUCACAAUGACUGAAAAAGCAGGCACGUUCAGCAAUAUCUUGCGAGAGGCGCGUGACUUUCCAAAAGUGACAGAUCCGGUGCUGUAUUACAGCAACGCUUCUGAGAAAUACCACGCUCUGGAGACUGACCGUGUUUUCAAAGAGGAGGUGUUUACAUCCUCAUGGAGGUAUGUCAUCGAUGCGCCUGUGCACCCGUGUAAACGCACCGAUGAUGUUCAAGAUGCCACUGACACAGAGUCCCUCAUAACUGGAACCAGUGAUGACCAGACAGUUCUGAAAGGAUCUCAUCCUGUGGGCAACACCAAAGAAGCUCAGAAUCCACGUGAAACCAAGCAAGACUUGCCGGAGGACAACGAUGACAGCAUGCUGUCAAUAAAGAUUACGGUUUUGUCACCCGAAGAAGCGCUUACAAUCUAUAGUACUGCUCACUGCUCAAACCAAAGUCGUGUUGCUGACCGGGACAAACAGAAAAACAGCCCCAGUGACCCUGGAAUGCCUUUGGGUGUCACUGUGAUGUCAUCUGUAGAUGCAAAGAGGUUUUUUGAGCUGUUAAAGGACCAAGAUGGGUGUGCAGUUUUACACGAUGCACCAAAAAUUGAGACUUCUGAAAACAAAGAUCCGGAACCCAUGGAGACUGGAUCAUCUGCAUGUCUUUCUGUGGCUAAGGACCUCUUGGAGAAUAGCACUUAUGUGAGCCAAAAGCUAAAUGCAAGCAGACCGUCCACAGGUGGGGAGGAACUUGAGAUGGUCUCAGGUGAACCUCAUUCAGUUUUGUCAUCAGACUCUGAGACAGUGCAUACAGUCAAUUCAAUAAUGCAGACUUCCUGUCCAAAAGAGGAGCAAUGUUCAGAACUCCUGAUCUCUGAAACUCAGCCCACGUCUCCAGGUAAAACUGACUUUGAUCAGGCUCCCUGCAGGAUCUCUCUGAACCAAGAUGAUCCGAUGCACUCCAUACAGCCUCCUGCCACAAGUUCCAAGGGAAACUGUCCCACUCAGACAAGUCCACUGAGGUCCCUGGCUGGUCAGACGGAGAGUGCUGAGACUCAGGAGUUGGAUGGAGAACAUGGAGACCAGGCUUUGUUACCGGAAACCAUGUCACUGGAGUUUGGCAAUGAGUUGCAUGAGAACCCAAGGAUAUGGAGCACCCCAGGGUCCACACAUGAUGUCACCUCACCACAGCCAGAGCCAGAUUCUGACAAAUCUAAUGAUGGCUCAAAAAGCCAUGUAAAGGCCACUGACUUUACAGACCUUAACAGAAAACGAGUGGAGGUCAACAAUCGGCAAGACACCUUGGACUACUCGCCAAAUAAAAAAAAACUAAAGACAACUCAACCAACCAUGAACAAGACUCACCAAAUCAACGAAAAUGUCAUGUUAAAGUUGUAUGGAUCACAAAAGAAGGACCAGACAUUGUCGGAAUACAGAAUUUAUAACCAUGUCUCGCCCCUGACGCUUAAAGUCAGGUACCCCCCAGAGACCUCGGCGAAGGAGAAGGUGAUGAGCACCUGGAGAAGUGCAUUUGUGCCGCCCAAGUCACGUAAGCGAGCCGGUCAGAAACAACACAGUCACAAAGUGCUUCGGAAACAAAAAAAAUGGAUGAAGAUUGAGCGAAAGGGAAUUCCAAGGAUGCAUCGGGAUUUCAAUCCGAAACUGUUUUUGUUUUAA
ensembl:lncRNA